GAUGAAGAACGCAGCGAAAUGCGAUAAGUAAUGUGAAUUGCAGAAUUCAGUGAAUCAUCGAAUCCUUGAACGCACAUUGCGCCCCCUGGUAUUCCGGGGGGCAUGCCUGUUCGAGCGUCAUUUCACCACUCAAGCCUCGCUUGGUAUUGGGCAACGCGGUCCGCCGCGUGCCUCAAAUCGACCGGCUGGGUCUUCUGUCCCCUAAGCGUUGUGGAAACUAUUCGCUAAAGGGUGUUCGGGAGGCUACGCCGUAAAACAACCCCAUUUCUAAGGUUGACCUCGGAUCAGGUAGGGAUACCCGCUGAACUUAAGCAUAUCAAUAAGCGGAGGA
rnacentral:misc_RNA from 1 species